GAGGCGGAUGAGCGCCUGGUGGUCUCCCCUGCCUUCAAAGCAGGUGGUCCCGAGGACCUCGGGACGGCGGGUUCGAUCCCCGCCCGCCUCC
rnacentral:tRNA from 1 species